GUUUUGGACGGAUGACACUAAGUUUGAUUACAAGAGAUGGGCUGGUGGCCAGCCGGACAAUUAUAGGAGAAGCGAGUACUGCGUUGAGAUGAACUAUUGGGACUGGGGACUCUGGAACGAUGUGAACUGUUCUGAUAAGAAGCCCUACGUGUGUGCAGUCAAUGUCUAAUAGUUCAGAGAGAAAGAACCUGAAAAGCAGCAUUUGAAUCAGUCUGCUUCAACUGGAACCACUGCAAGCUUUUCCAUUUACUGCAAUAAAUAUUCAGCAUCAGAAAACA